CGAAGGGGGCUAGCGUUGCUCGGAAUUACUGGGCGUAAAGGGCGCGUAGGCGGACAUUUAAGUCAGGGGUGAAAUCCCAGAGCUCAACUCUGGAACUGCCUUUGAUACUGGGUGUCUUGAGUGUGAGAGAGGUAUGUGGAACUCCGAGUGUAGAGGUGAAAUUCGUAGAUAUUCGGAAGAACACCAGUGGCGAAGGCGACAUACUGGCUCAUUACUGACGCUGAGGCGCGAAAGCGUGGGGAGCAAACAGGAUUA
rnacentral:rRNA from 1 species